UUUUCACAAUGUAUUUCAUGGCUUCCAUCCCUACAUGAGACUUUAUUACGAUCACAUAGGAAUAAAAAGCCAUAAAGCACUAGAGUGAAU
rnacentral:pre_miRNA from 1 species